rnacentral:rRNA from 1 species
CUUUUUGUAGAACGAGCCAACGAGUUACGGUAUGUAGCAAGGUUAAGUACUUAAGGUACGGAGCCGAAGGGAAACCGAGUCUGAAUAGGGCGACUAGUUGCAUGCCGUAGACCCGAAACCGGGUGACCUAUCCAUGGCCAGGUUGAAGCGAGGGUAAAACCUCGUGGAGGACCGAACCACGUUGCUGUUGAAAAAGCAUGGGAUGAGCUGUGGAUAGCGGAGAAAUUCCAAUCGAACCCGGAGAUAGCUGGUUCUCUCCGAAAUAGCUUUAGGGCUAGCGUCGAGUAUGAGUAGUGGAGGUAGAGCACUGAAUGGGCUAGGGGGCAUAGCGCUUACCGAACCUUAUCAAACUCCGAAUGCCACAUACUUUGAGCUCGGCAGUCAGACUACGAAUGAUAAGAUCCGUGGUCAAAAGGGAAACAGCCCAGAUCGUCAGCUAAGGUCCCAAAGUGUAAGUUAAGUGGGAAAGGAUGUGAGAUUUCUAAGACAACUAGGAUGUUGGCUUAGAAGCAGCCAUUCAUUAAAAGAGUGCGUAAUAGCUCACUAGUCGAGAGAUCUUGCGCCGAAAAUGUAACGGGGCUAAACUUACC